rnacentral:RNase_P_RNA from 1 species
GCGAUGAAUCAGGAGGCCGCUCACAAUCUGAUCAUUAAAAUGAUCAGAUUGUUUGAGAGGAAAGUCCGGACUCCGCAGGGCACGAUGCCGGGUAACACCCGGAUUUGACUGCUUAACCAACGGGAAGAUUCCGAUUAAAGGGUUUUUUUAAGGACAAGUAGUCAGAAUAGACAGCGCAACAGAAAGGAUACCGCCAUGCAAAAUAAACUUUGUUUAUUUUGCAUGGUAAGGGUGAAAGGGCGGGGUAAGAGCCCACCUCGGCAGCGGUAACGUUGCCGGAAAAAUCGGAUAAACCGGAAUACGGUAUGGAGUUUCGAAUGAAACUCCGAAGCCAUUUCGGCGAAGCCAAAAUGGCAAGCCUCAUCGGGAGCAAAGUCAAGCAGUGUUCAAUGGCCCAUUGAUUAAACGCGGGUAGACUGCAUGGAAACAGCCGGUAACGGCUGUUUAAGACAGAUGGCCUUAAGCUAUGGUUGAUGCCAUAACCGUUAUGGCUGAUGCCAUAACUUAACAGAAUCCGGCUUAUGGUUCAUCGCUUUU